rnacentral:rRNA from 1 species
GAUGAACGCUAGCGGCAGGCCUAACACAUGCAAGUCGAGGGGCAUCAUGGCGUAGCAAUACGCUGAUGGCGACCGGCGCACGGGUGCGUAACGCGUAUGGAACCUACCCACCGCAGGGGGAUAACCCGCCGAAAGGCGGACUAAUACCCCAUGGUUCCCCGACCCUGCCUGGGGGUUGGGGGUAAAGCCUACGGGCGGCGGUGGAUGGCCCUGCGUGCCAUUAGCUGGCUGGUGGGGUAACGCCCACCAGGGCGACGAUGGCUAGGGGGUCUGAGAGGACGAUCCCCCAACUGGUACUGAGACACGGACCAGACUCCUACGGGAGCAGCAGUGAGGAAUAUUGGUCAAUGGGCGGAAGCCUGAACCAGCCAUGCCGCGUGCAGGAUGACGGCCCUACGGGUUGUAAACUGCUUUUCCAGGGAGAGAAACUUACGCACGUGUUGCGUGACUGACGGUACCUGGGAAUAAGCAUCGGCUAACUCCGUGCCAGCAGCCGCGGUAAGAUCACG